AUUGAGCGCUGGCGGCAUGCCUUACACAUGCAAGUCGAACGGUAACAGGUCUUCGGAUGCUGACGAGCGGCGAACGGGUGAGUAAUACAUCGGAACGUGCCUAGUAGUGGGGGAUAACUACUCGAAAGAGUGGCUAAUACCGCAUGAGAUCUACGGAUGAAAGCAGGGGAUCGCAAGACCUUGUGCUACUAGAGCGGCCGAUGGCAGAUUAGGUAGUUGGUGGGAUAAAAGCUUACCAAGCCGACGAUCUGUACGUGGUCUGAGAGGACGAUCAGCCACACUGGGACUGAGACACGGCCCAGACUCCUACGGGAGGCAGCAGUGGGGAAUUUUGGACAAUGGGCGAAAGCCUGAUCCAGCAAUGCCGCGUGCAGGAUGAAGGCCUUCGGGUUGUAAACUGCUUUUGUACGGAACGAAAAGCUCCGGGUUAAUACCCUGGGGUCAUGACGGUACCGUAAGAAUAAGCACCGGCUAACUACGUGCCAGCCGCCGCCGUAA
rnacentral:rRNA from 1 species